rnacentral:misc_RNA from 1 species
GAUGAAGAACGUAGCGAAAUGCGAUACGUAAUGUGAAUUGCAGAAUUCAGUGAAUCAUCGAAUCUUUGAACGCAUAUUGCGCUCUCUGGUAUUCCGGAGAGCAUGCUUGUUUGAGUAUCAGUAAACACCUCAACUCCCUUUUCUUUUUUGAAAUUGGAGCUGGACUUGAGUGAUCCCAACGCUUUCUUCCAAGAAAGUGGCGGGUUGCUUGAAAUGCAGGUGCAGCUGAACUUUUCUCUGAGCUAUAAGCAUAUCUAUUUAGUCUGCCUAAAAAACAGAUUAUUACCUUUGCUGCAGCUAACAUAAAGGAGACUAGUUCUUGUGCUGACUGAUGCAGGACUCACAGAGACAGCUUCGGCUGACUUUGUAAACUCGAUCUCAAAUCAAGUAAGACUACCCGCUGAACUUAAGCAUAUCAAUAAGCGGAGGA